rnacentral:lncRNA from 1 species
CUGCUUGAGGGUCGGUUUCAAAAUGGGUUACAAGGGAUAAUGUCAGGUGUAAGGUAGGCUGAACAAAGAAAAAAAUUGGUUUAAAGUGUGGCGUUGGGAUGGAUAAAUAAUGGUAGGAAGGGAUACUUGAUGAUCGGAGUAAUAAGAGAUGAAAAUAAAACUCGCAAGACUUUUCACUUCUUUUUUUCUUCUUUUUUUUACUUUUUUUUUGCUCACUUCUUUUUUUUCUUUUUUUUUUGAAUUUUGAUUUUUUUUUGUGAUACUCCAAUACAAUAGUAAGGUAAAUACAAGGAAGGAAAAAAAUUAAAUUACAACUCGAAAUUUUUUUUGAUUUUUUUUCACGUUCCGAACCUACUUGCGGCCUUGUU